UAUUUUAACUUACCUGUGGGAUGUCUAGUGGUAUAAGGAGCCAAGGGUGAACCGGCUCUUAUACUUUUCCUGUUGUUCUUUUGAACUGCUAAUGGACAAAGACCUAUUGGGAUGCCAGCACUGAGAGCCUUGCCGAAAUUACCGUGAGAAGUGAACAAGAUUCCUGCAUCUGUGCCGCUUCUGACUGAGCAGAAAGAACAAAGGCAGAUUCUUGCUCCUUUAUGGAAUAUGAAUGAGAAAGCAUAAUCUGACAAGAACAUAUUAGUGAAACAUCAAAUGGAUGUGAACAGAAUAUCGCUAAUGGGAAGAGAAGUCUUUACAUACCAGAAAGCUGUUCAUGUUUUAAAAUAUUCUGUAGGACUGAAGCAGAAUGAAGCGAUAGAUCCAAAGGGAGGAAAAUUAGCAUAGGUUUUGUAUAUUUUCCAGACUUGUUACUAUUUAGAUUAAGAUAAGGUUAAAGCUGCCAACUCUGCUUUUUUUUUUUAGGCUAACACGUUAUAUAGCUCUUGUUUGAGGCAGACUACUUUCCAAAAGGCUAUCUGUGCAUUUUCUCAUAUUUGUAUUCAUUAGGAAAAUUCUGCCUCAAAAAAUGGUAAUGCAGUUUUUCAUUACUCCUACAAAUAUUCUCAUAGGAAGAUUAGAGUAUGUUAUUUCUACACUUGCACGUGGUGGUAUUUCUAUCAAUCUGCAACUUUCGGAAUGUAUUUUUAGACUGAGGUUGUUCAAGUGUAAAAGCUCCCAAAUGUUGUUAGAUUGAAGAUUGCAAACAAGUGAAUUUUGAAAUAAUAAAGUAUGCAAAUAAAUUUUUUGUUUGCAA